AAGAGAGAUUUGAUGUGGACAGUGGGCUUGAUCCAAAAAAAUGGCCCAAUAUAGAUGUGUUAUUAAUAUUACUUGAUUGCCCUUAAUGAAACAUGCAAUGUUAGUAAAGAAAGGGUAGGCUAAGGUAAAAAGCACAAUAUGAUCCUGCUUUAAUAGUAUAGAUACGCUGUAAAUUUUGGAUGAAAGAUUUACAUACAAGAUAACUUUCUAUGUUUUAAAUUACAACAUAGGUCACUUUCUGCUCCAAGAGCACUUUUAUUGACUUUUGCAUACACAUACCCGACAUGAAUUUCCAACGUUGCCCUUCUUCUUUCAAACAAUUAUUUUUUAUAUUUCUAUCGAAACUUUCACCCACAUAUGUAAAAUUUCGUAAGUUCUUACAGACACCACUGAAAUAAAUUAAUAAACUUUAUCACUAAAUAUUUUCAUCCUCUUCUCUCUCCAUGUGACCACCGGAUCCGCCGGGUCUUUGAAUCUUUCCAAGGACUUCUUUGUUUAUUUACACCUCGUGUACUAAUCGGUUUUGCUAACCAAAAUUCUUACGAGCUUGAAUCUGAGAAAUCCAUAGCGUCCCCACUUGGUAAGCGUUCGAUCUCGGUAAUUAUCUUCAGACCUUUAUCUGAUAAGUAACUCCAGGUGGAUUGUUUUAUGUAUGCGAGGCUGGUAAUUUCGAUUACGCCCAUGCCGUACAAGAUUAAUAUGCUUGUGUUGUUGAGCUUCUAAGUGAUGCUGAAGAUAGCGUUAGAUUUUUCUGUAGUUCAUGGCUGUGUCGGGCAAAGUGUUGAUAGCAUCCAAGGAAGAGAAGAACGUAAUAGAGUGCAUUGAUGUUGUGUUUCUGAUCCAAGAACAUAAAGAUGCCCCUUAUUGACAAUUAAGAUUAAUAAAGAUUUGAUUUUGUGGAACUUUCUGUUAUAAGUUAUUGUUGUUUUGGCAGUAUGAUAUUGCCCUCUUUGUCUUUGCUAUAUUUGGUAGAUAUUUCAACACUAAGUCGCAAGCUUUUAUGUAAAAGUCAGUUACAUUCGUGCAAGGACAGAUGUCUGGUAUGUAAUUCUUACUUUUUUUUGUAUGUUACAAUGGUUAUUUGGGCAUUUUCCAUUA